rnacentral:rRNA from 1 species
AGAGUUUGAUCCUGGCUCAGGACGAACGCUGGCGGCGUGCUUAACACGUGCAAGUCGAGCGGAAAGGCCCUUCGGGGUACUCGAGCGGCGAACGGGUGAGUAACACGUGAGCAACCUGCCCCUGGCUCUGGGAUAGCUCCGGGAAACCGGGAUUAAUACCGGACAUGAACCUGCUGCGGCAUCGCGGCGGGUGGAAAGUUUUUUCGGCCAGGGAUGGGCUCGCGGCCUAUCAGCUUGUUGGCAGGGUAAUGGCCUACCAAGGCGACGACGGGUAGCCGGCCUGAGAGGGCGACCGGCCACACUGGGACUGAGACACGGCCCAGACUCCUACGGGAGGCAGCAGUGGGGAAUAUUGCGCAAUGGGCGGAAGUCUGACGCAGCGACGCCGCGUGCGGGAUGAAGGCCUUCGGGUUGUAAACCGCUUUCAGCAGGGACGAAAACAGACGGUACCUGCAGAAGAAGCGCCGGCUAACUACGUGCCAGCAGCCGCGGUAAUACGUAGGGCGCAAGCGUUGUCCGGAAUUAUUGGGCGUAAAGAGCUCGUAGGCGGCCUGUCACGUCCGCUGUGAAAUCCCGGGGCUUAACCCCGGGCCUGCAGUGGAUACGGGCUGGCUGGAGGCAGGCAGGGGAGAACGGAAUUCCUGGUGUAGCGGUGAAAUGCGCAGAUAUCAGGAGGAACACCGGUGGCGAAGGCGGUUCUCUGGGCCUGUUCUGACGCUGAGGAGCGAAAGCGUGGGGAGCGAACAGGAUUAGAUACCCUGGUAGUCCACGCCGUAAACGUUGGGCGCUAGGUGUGGGUCCCUUCCACGGGGUCUGUGCCGCAGCUAACGCAUUAAGCGCCCCGCCUGGGGAGUACGGCCGCAAGGCUAAAACUCAAAGGAAUUGACGGGGGCCCGCACAAGCGGCGGAGCAUGUUGCUUAAUUCGACGCAACGCGAAGAACCUUACCAAGGCUUGACAUGGCCUCAAAAGCCGCAGAGAUGUGGUGUCCGCAAGGGGGGGUCACAGGUGGUGCAUGGCUGUCGUCAGCUCGUGACGUGAGAUGUUGGGUUAAGUCCCGCAACGAGCGCAACCCUCGUCCUAUGUUGCCAGCGGGUAAUGCCGGGGACUCAUGGGAGACUGCCGGGUCAACUCGGAGGAAGGUGGGGAUGACGUCAAGUCAUCAUGCCCCUUAUGUCUUGGGCUGCAAACAUGCUACAAUGGCCGGUACAAAGGGCUGCGAUGCCGUGAGGCGGAGCGAAUCCCGGAAAGCCGGUCUCAGUUCGGAUCGGGGUCUGCAACUCGACCCCGUGAAGUCGGAGUCGCUAGUAAUCGCGAAUCAGCAACGUCGCGGUGAAUACGUUCCCGGGCCUUGUACACACCGCCCGUCACGUCACGAAAGUUGGCAACACCCGAAGCCGGUGGCCUAACCCGUAAGGGGAGGAGCCGUCGAAGGUGGGGCUGGCGAUUGGGACGAAGUCGGAACAAGGUA